ACACCCUCAACUCUCAUGGUCUUCCAUGAUGAGCUUGGACUUUGGGGGUUUUGCUGGCAUAACCGUCGGCUCCUCUCAAAUGAAUCAGCCUUCCAGUGUUUGGUGUGGCGUCACAGGUGUGAUAACUAUCUACGCUUGUGGUCUCCCACCAGUUACCUUCAGUGAUGGAGGUUCGCUGGAGCUCACAGACGUCCUCUCCUCAGGGAGGACAGCUUUUGAAC
rnacentral:misc_RNA from 1 species